rnacentral:rRNA from 1 species
CGACCGCUGGCGGCGUGCUUAACACAUGCAAAUCGAACGGAAAGGCCCUGCUUUUGUGGGGUGCUCGAGUGGCGAACGGGUGAGUAACACGUGAGUAACCUGCCCUUGACUUUGGGAUAACUUCAGGAAACUGGGGCUAAUACCGGAUAGGAGCUCCUGCUGCAUGGUGGGGGUUGGAAAGUUUCGGCGGUUGGGGAUGGACUCGCGGCUUAUCAGCUUGUUGGUGGGGUAGUGGCUUACCAAGGCUUUGACGGGUAGCCGGCCUGAGAGGGUGACCGGCCACAUUGGGACUGAGAUACGGCCCAGACUCCUACGGGAGGCAGCAGUGGGGAAUAUUGCACAAUGGGCGGAAGCCUGAUGCAGCAACGCCGCGUGCGGGAUGACGGCCUUCGGGCUGUAAACCGCUUUCGCCUGUGACGAAGCGUGAGUGACGGUAAUGGGUAAAGAAGCACCGGCUAACUACGUG